ACACUCAGGGAGACUGGACUUAAACAGCUACACCACCAGAAGCCGAGAGAGAGGCUGGAACAUAGCCUUCCCUUUGGAGCCCUAGCAGAUGCUAAUCCAGCGUGCAUCCUGACAGAGGUUGAAGGGAGCUCCUCAAGUCCCAGGUCCAGCUUGGUGUGGUUCAGCUACUCGAGAGACAUCUGCUGCUAAUGGAUGAGCAGUCAGCCUGGAUGCAGGAAAUCAUUUUUUAUUUGGUCCUGGAGGCUGGAAGUGCAAGAGGAAGGUGUCGGCAAGAUCGUUUUUUUCUGAGAGCUCUCUUCUUGGCUUGCAGAUGGCAGCCUUCUCCUGGCGCAGUCUUUUCUCUACUCACGCCCAAAGUUACAGAGGACCCAGCAACCAUCUCCUGCAGCCCCUGGAAACCUCUUGACUCUUCUGUGAUGUUCCCAGUGAUCCAGCAGCCCCGGCCUUCUUCUGAUGGCUUGAACAUUUGGUCUUCAUUGAACAGUUUGUAUAUUGGAAACUUGGCAGCCUCCAUCCACAUUCCAACCUCCUUCUGCAUCCCUCGGUACAAAAUGGUUCAAUCUGUCUACCUCCUUUCACAUUCCACCAAGAUAUUCCAAUGCCCAGGGUUCCUUUGACCACCUCACACCUAACAAGUUCCCUCACUGUCUCUCACUCUCCCCUGAAGAUUCUAAGCUGCCUCUGUCCUGCUAA
rnacentral:lncRNA from 1 species